rnacentral:lncRNA from 1 species
GCAAAAUCUGGGUAAGUUCACUUGAAUGAAUUUAGCUCUAUCAUCUCUUUUACUAUACAGAAAAUUUUAACGAAAUCUUAAUCAACACAUCAUGGGCUUCAAAAGGGUGUCUCAGAUUGUCUCUAUUGUAUUCCAUUCUCUCAUCAAUCUCUAAUUAGUGUAAACAUCCUAACCACAUAAAAGAAGAUAAUGUUUAAUUAGGUGUAAAAUUUGUUCUAUACAUUCUAUCUGAAAUAUGAGACACCUUUUUGUAGAUAAUGGCCAUAGGAAC